CCUACGGGUGGCAGCAGUGGGGAAUAUUGCACAAUGGGCGCAAGCCUGAUGCAGCCAUGCCGCGUGUGUGAAGAAGGCCUUCGGGUUGUAAAGCACUUUCAGCGGGGAGGAAGGCGGUGAGGUUAAUAACCUCAUCGAUUGCCGUUCCCCGCAGAAGAAGCACCGGAUAACUCCGUGCCAGCAGCCGCGGUAAUACGGAGGGUGCAAGCGUUAAUCGGAAUUACUGGGCGUAAAGCGCACGCAGGCGGUCUGUCAAGUCGGAUGUGAAAUCCCCGGGCUCAACCUGGGAACUGCAUUCGAAACUGGCAGGCUAGAGUCUUGUAGAGGGGGGUAGAAUUCCAGGUGUAGCGGUGAAAUGCGUAGAGAUCUGGAGGAAUACCGGUGGCGAAGGCGGCCCCCUGGACAAAGACUGACGCUCAGGUGCGAAAGCGUGGGGAGCAAACAGGAUUAGAUACCCGAGUAGUC
rnacentral:rRNA from 1 species